rnacentral:rRNA from 1 species
UACGUAGGGGGCAAGCGUUGUCCGGAUUUAUUGGGCGUAAAGCGCGCGUAGGCGGCCACUUAAGUCGGAUGUGAAAGCCCCUGGCUCAACUGGGGAAGUGCACCCGAAACUGAGCGGCUUGAAUGCAAAAGAGGGUCGCGGAAUUCCCGGUGUAGAGGUGAAAUUCGUAGAUAUCGGGAGGAACACCGGUGGCGAAGGCGGCGACCUGGGUUGACAUUGACGCUGAGGCGCGAAAGCGUGGGGAGCAAACAGG